rnacentral:tRNA from 1 species
GCCAAUGUGGCGUAGUGGUUUGAGUGUUGGACUGCAACUCUGGAGACCAGGGUUUGAUUCCCCACUCAGCCA